rnacentral:rRNA from 1 species
CCUACGGGGGGCAGCAGUGGGGAAUAUUGGACAAUGGGGGGAACCCUGAUCCAGCCAUGCCGCGUGUGUGAAGAAGGCCCUCGGGUUGUAAAGCACUUUCAGUGAGGAAGAACGCCUGGUGGUUAAUACCCAUCAGGAAAGACAUCACUCACAGAAGAAGCACCGGCUAACUCCGUGCCAGCAGCCGCGGUAAUACGGAGGGUGCGAGCGUUAAUCGGAAUUACUGGGCGUAAAGCGCGCGUAGGUGGCUUGAUAAGCCGGUUGUGAAAGCCCCGGGCUCAACCUGGGAACGGCAUCCGGAACUGUCAAGCUAGAGUGCAGGAGAGGAAGGUAGAAUUCCUGGUGUAGCGGUGAAAUGCGUAGAGAUCGGGAGGAAUACCAGUGGCGAAGGAGGCCUUCUGGACUGACACUGACACUGAGGUGCGAAAGCGUGGGUAGCAAACAGGAUUAGAUACCCCAGUAGUC